rnacentral:rRNA from 1 species
UACUACGGCCAUGCCACACUGAAUGUGCCUGAUCUCGUCUGAUUGGAAGCUAAGCAGGGUUGGGCCUGGGUAGUACUUGGAUGGGAGACCACCUAGGAAGACCAGGUGCUGUAGGGA